rnacentral:rRNA from 1 species
UGCGUAGGCGGCAUGGCAAGUCAGAUGUGAAAUCCCCGGGCUUAACUCGGGUGGUGCAUUUGAAACUGCCAGGCUUGAGUGCAGGAGAGGAAAGCGGAAUUCCUAGUGUAGCGGUGAAAUGCGUAGAUAUUAGGAGGAACACCAGUGGCGAAGGCGGCUUUCUGGACUGUAACUGACGCUGAGGCACGAAAGCGUGGGGAGCAAACAG